CUCAAUUUAAAGGUUAGGUCAGCCAUGGUUUUUGUCAUGACACUGAUAAAUUUUUCUAAUGACCAGAAUGGUUUGAUCUGUAAUAGCUUUUUGUUUUUGUUUUAAGGAAUAUAUGCCUUGGUUAUCUGACUUCAUCCUAAAAAUGGAUUUUUUUUUUCUGUUUUGAAUUGUUUCUGUUUUACAACACAAAGAUAGAAUUAUACAGCAGUGGGUAAAAUUUGAUAAUAUUAAAAUAUGCAUUUUAAAGAUCUUUAUUGAAAACUUAGAAGAAUUGUAAAGAUGAAAAGUUGGCAAAGGGAUAAGGAGGGAAAUGUUUAGGAAUCAUUGUGGUUUAAAGAGGGUAAAAAUUUCUAGAUGACGUUUAAUAUAUUGAGAAGGUAGUGAAGGUAUAAAGUCAGAAAAAAGGGCAGAUAGAUCUCCUAAUCUCAGGAAUAAACUGUCUUUGUAAAUUUUGAAUAAUGUUCAGAAAACCAAGGAUCAAGAUAGUGUGUGAUGAGUCUUUUAGUUAAAAAUUCAGUCAAAAAUAAAUAAUAAAAAUACUAAUUUAAGUUCAUACUGAGGAUAUAAACUUGAGAGGUUAAAACCAUUUAUAAAAAGUGGUUGAACUUGUUCCUGGUAACUCCUUUUUCUGAACUAAUUCUAGUCCUUUCUUUUUUUUAAAAAUAGAAACUACUUAAAUGUUGUUUUUAAAUUAUUUCCUCUAAGUAAAAUUACAGAGGGGAAAAGAUUGUAAGCAAGUCCAUUGCUAAUAGUGGUUGUAUUUGUUUUUCUCCAAGUUUCCCUGUAACAUGAUUUAUAUUUGUCUGUAAUACUUGUAGCCAGUGUAUUUUUUAAAGUAAC
rnacentral:lncRNA from 1 species